UACAUAAUAUUCGGGUGAUUCAAAAUACUAAAUACCAUCGUUAAAGAUAAUUGAGAUGAUUAUCGAUUAUUGAGCGCAGCAGAUGCCUCGCGGUGCUCGUGGUGCCUGCGAGCAGCGGUGAGUUGUGCCACCCCUGCUUACCUCUUGUAUCUGAUUCAGGAUACGUAAACUAUUUCUUAUUAUAUCUAGAAAUCUAAGCUCUGGAUAAUUUUUUGCGAAAGAAAAAAUUGACUCAGAAUAUUACUAAGAAUACGUCUAUGUAAGGACAUAUAGUUAUUUUGAAUCACCCUGUAUACAUGUGGGAGUUUAUUGUUAAUAAUUUCAAAUUAAAGAUAAACGUUGGAAAUAAACAUUUAUACUUAAGAAAUUGACCCUACUCGGUGAGUCCAAGCCACACUGUCGCGUAGAGAGAGAGAGAGAGAGAGAGAAAGCAAUAGAUAAAUUUUACUGUAUCGACGAUUUAGAUACAUUUUCGACCCAUAACAUUCAAUUCUUCCGUUUGCAAUAAUAGCGAUUCUAUCAGCAAGAAAAUCUGCAGCUUUCAUGGAAUUUGUUGCCAUUAGUAUUGUCUUGUCUUUUCUUAUAUCCUGUAAAACGAUAUUGCGUAUUUCACACAAUUUCUUUAUUAUAUUUUAUUACAUAUUUUAUAUUAAAACUAUCUACUUAAAGAAAGUCAGUUAGCAUAAGUAAAUCGCAUAUCUGCCUUUUGUGUUCAGGAUCGAUACUGUAUGUAGGUUCGUCAAGGAUGAGAAUCUGUCAGAAUUAAAAUUAUAAUAAUUUGUAACACACACACACACACACACACACACACACACACACACACACACACACACACAAUUUAAUAAGUUAUUUUAAACUACGCAAUAUUGUUUUAAUUUAUAUUUGCAGAAUUUUUAAGAUACAUUUAUUUUUAGUACUUCUAUUGAAUGCAAAUCAGGGUGAACUAUGAGAUCCGUGGCUGGGAUACUUUUGGAAAUGUAAUAAUUAUGCCUUUCACUGUACGCACGUCAACACGUCACUGACCACGAACUGUCACAUCACCGCCGUGAAUUUCGCCGCGGAUUAACCAUUACAUCGACAGGCGGAUUCGACCGCCAUCUAUCGCGCGAAAAGCAAAAGUACAAAUCCCCACCAUCUGUCCCGGGCGACGACGACGAUAAUAAAAAUGAUUACGACGUUUCUUAAAAAUUUUACUCUUGAUGCGAAACUUUAAAUCGCGAUAUCUUCGCUCAUAAGUCACGUAGCGGAAAAAUAAAAACACUUUUGUUAUAUAAAUCGGAUGCGAGCUAUCCAUUAAGCUUAUUUAGAAAUCGAUCGAUUCAGCCAUUAUUGAGAUCCGAUAAUCUACGGAAUGUCGCAAACGGCGUCUCGCGUAAAUAGAGGCACGGCAGUGCCUCGCGCGCGUACACUUGGCGCGAGACACUACCGUGCCUUUUGAUAUAAUAUCAAUAUAAUAGAUCUGUAUUGCGCAAUACAAAUAAUAUAUAAAAUAUUAUAUAAUAUCAAUAUAACUUCAAUAUAAAAUCCGUUACAUAAGUGUUGUUAUGUUACUAUUAUUUCAAUAUUGCGAGUAAAUAACAAAAAAAUGUAAAAAUUAAUAUAAAACCGUUAUAUUGUACUCGGAUAACAAUCUAGAUUGCAUUAACAUGAUUGUAAGGCAACAUCUGUUAUCUCACAUGUUACUUCUGUGUAAUGUUGCGUCUAUAUUCUGUGUUUGCUGGGUUUUAAUAUUGGGUGGAUUUGCUUUACCGAACGCAGUAAUUUAACCACAUGCACAACUCUACAUCACACUUCAUCUAUUUAAUCAUCAACACCAAUGUAAAAUUAAAUAAUCAGUGAGUAAGAAGCAUAGAUUUUACAAUGGUGUUGAUGAGAUAGAUGAGAUAUUGUGUGAUAUAUAUAUAGAAUUGUGAAUCAGUUAAAUAUUGCUGUAAAUGUCAAUCAAUAUUCACAACUAGUAAUUAGCUUGAA